UGGGGAAUAUUGCACAAUGGGAGAAAGCCUGAUGCAGCAACGCCGCGUGAGCGAUGAAGGCCUUCGGGUCGUAAAGCUCUGUCCUCAAGGAAGAUAAUGACGGUACUUGAGGAGGAAGCCCCGGCUAACUACGUGCCAGCAGCCGCGGUAAUACGUAGGGGGCUAGCGUUAUCCGGAAUUACUGGGCGUAAAGGGUGCGUAGGUGGUUUCUUAAGUCAGAGGUGAAAGGCUACGGCUCAACCGUAGUAAGCCUUUGAAACUGGGAAACUUGAGUGCAGGAGAGGAGAGUGGAAUUCCUAGUGUAGCGGUGAAAUGCGUAGAUAUUAGGAGGAACACCAGUUGCGAAGGCGGCUCUCUGGACUGUAACUGACACUGAGGCACGAAAGCGUGGGGAGCAAACAGG
rnacentral:rRNA from 1 species